rnacentral:rRNA from 2 species
GCAGACGUGAAUCAUCGAAUCUUUGAACGCAUAUUGCGCCUUGGGGCAUUCCCCAAGGCAUGCCUGUUUGAGCGUGAUAUCUUCUCACCGUUGGUGGAUUUGUUUCUAAAUAUCAUGCCACAGUGAAGUCUACGCUUUCACUGCUUUUUCCCCUCAAAUCAGGUAGGACUACCCGCUGAACUUAAGCAUAUCAAUAAGCGGAGGAAAAGAAACCAACAGGGAUUGCCUCAGUAACGGCGAGUGAAGCGGCAAGAGCUCAACUUUGGAAUCGCUGCGGCGAGUUGUAGUCUGGAGGUGGCCGGUCCCGGCGCCAGCGCGCAGCCAAGUCCUUUGGAACAAGGCGCCUGAGAGGGUGACAGCCCCGUGGCAGUUUGUGCUGGUGCCGCCUCGGCCCACCGACGAGUCGAGUUGUUUGGGAAUGCAGCUCUAAGUGGGUGGUAAAUUCCAUCUAAAGCUAAAUACCGGCGAGAGACCGAUAGCGAACAAGUACAGUAAUGGAAAGAUGAAAAGCACUUUGAAAAGAGAGUGAAACAGUACGUGAAAUUGUUGGUCACAUUGAAUUAGCACCCAGACACGGCCUUCUGGCCGGGCCAGCAUCGGGUGGGAGGGAG